rnacentral:rRNA from 1 species
UACGGAGGGUGCAAGCGUUAUCCGGAUUCACUGGGUUUAAAGGGUGCGUAGGUGGGCAGGUAAGUCAGUGGUGAAAUCUCCGAGCUUAACUCGGAAACUGCCAUUGAUACUAUAGAUCUUGAAUUAUCUGGAGGUAAGCGGAAUAUGUCAUGUAGCGGUGAAAUGCUUAGAUAUGACAUAGAACACCAAUUGCGAAGGCAGCUUACUACGGAUCGAUUGACACUGAGGCACGAAAGCGUGGGGAUCAAACAGG